rnacentral:rRNA from 1 species
CCUACGGGGGGCAGCAGUGAGGAAUAUUGGUCAAUGGCCGAGAGGCUGAACCAGCCAAGUCGCGUGAGGGAAGACGGCCCUACGGGUUGUAAACCUCUUUUGUCGGGGAACAAAGCGAGUCACGUGUGACUCAUUGAGAGUACCCGAAGAAAAAGCAUCGGCUAACUCCGUGCCAGCAGCCGCGGUAAUACGGAGGAUGCGAGCGUUAUCCGGAAUUACUGGGUGUAAAGGGAGCGUAGACGGUAAUGCAAGUCUGGAGUGAAAGGCGGGGGCCCAACCCCCGGACUGCUCUGUUAACUGUGUAA